rnacentral:lncRNA from 1 species
CGAUCAUAUCGCUACCUAUUCCGAAUCUUACUACGGCUUAGGCUGUUUUCAAUUUUUUGUAGAAGGUAUGUGUCAAAUGUAAAUUAUUAAAUAUUACGUGUUCGUUUACUUUUAGAAAAUGAUUAACAAAAACGUUUAAUGUUAUAUGUUUAAGAAUAUACACUCUUAACUUUUUUUCUCCCUGAUUUUAAUCUCAAAACAAAAUCGGUUAUUAAUUUUCGUUUUUUUUUAUAUUUUCAUAUGUGGUAUUUAUAUAUUGCCUUCAUCACUCCAAGAUAUACUUAGCUUCAUAACAAUAAUACCAAUACGUUUCCAAAUAUAUAGUUGUAUCGUGUGUUUAAGCAGUCAUUUAUUUUAUAUGACAAUGUCUAUUUUUAAAUGAGAUUUGUGGUCACCUCUUCCGAUGUUGACUUCAUCGUUGACAAAAAUGGUAUUCUGAAUGUCAUCGAUUCUAUAUCAUAUUGAUAACAUUUAUAUGUGAGAUCUUUGGAAUCUUCUUCUAAACAGUACGUGUUUAGUGAAGUUAUUCUGGUAGAGUAAAAAUAUCUAAAUUUUCACCAACCGAUGUUUUGCAUAGUGUAAAAAAUACUAUUCCAUCUGAAUUAAAUUUAUUGAUUUAUCAAAGUGUUUCUAUGUACUAACAAGUACUUUAUUAGAUUUCAUUUGAAGAAAUUUUUUUUAACAUUGGUUUACCGUCAUUUUAGGCUAUUAACAUUACAUACAAACUGGAUAUCUUGUCAGAGCACCGAAUCAUGUAAAAGAUCGGUCAUAAGCGUUAUUGUUUUGUAAAUUGUUGAAUAACUAUAGUCAGUCCCUUCAACCUUGCUGGUAUCUCUUAUAUUAGCGUAUACUUCAUUUUAUUAACCUGAUGGUGGAUUUGAAGGAUGACUGUUUUGAAUAUGUUCUUAUUUAUAUAUUGUUUGAAUAGAUCGGAACGGUUGACCUUACGAGAAAUAGAAAACAACACCCCCUUUUAUUCAACAUUAUCUAAAAAGAUUUUGUUUUCAACAAACAUCCAAUGAGUGCAGCAGUGUUAAAAUGUUAAUUUUUAAAUCGAAAGUUUGUUCUAAUCAUUCCCGAAUUGAUUAAAUGAUUGAAAAACAAAAACAUAAAAAAAUAUAUAUAUCUAAAAAUAUAUAAUUUUUCUUUUCUUUUUGUUUUUCCUAACGUCCUGAUAUAAGAGAACUUUUCCCAAAUCGUCUUUUCUAUGAAACUCAGCACAAUAAACGAAACUGUGAAACAAUUGUGUAAAAAAUGCACGGGAUUAUUUUCUGCCAUAACAAAGCUAUAAAUAAGGUUAAGUGUCAGUCCCAAAUAACAGAGAUACAUUGUUUAGAAAUCAAUUGUAUUAUUCUAAUAGUAACUCAGUCGUAGAAGCUUUUGAUCAUGCAAUCGCCAUAUUGAAAUGUCAUUCAUUUGUGCAGUUUGAGUCAAUAUCUAUAGAACACAUAUUAGGUUUUAACUUAUCUCUAUGAAUGAGACAUUAAACUUGAUAUUCAUCCGAUCGACAUAUGCAUAUUUAAACCCAAUCGUCAACUCAUUGUAUAAUAUGAAUUAUGAUAUAAUAAAACUUACCAACCGUUAAUUUAUUCUUUAAAAGAUAAGUAACGAUUUACUUGCGAGACACAAAGAAAUAAAAUGAUUAAGUGACUCUUUACAAACACGAAGAAUGUAGUUUUUGUAUUUUUUUUCUGAUUUAGCAUGAAUGCAUAUUUGUGUUUAUAUUUUUUAACAAUCCAAACCUAAUGGAUGGAAUAUAACUGUGAAUUUUCCACGCAAUGUACAGGCAUUUUACAGAAAUCAUUCCAAUAAAACAUCGCUUACAAGGCGCGGUUUAUACCAAUGAGACAACCUCCAACGGAAACACUAUGUAUCCAAAACUCUACACAAAGUUUGUAUCUAUUUUGAUUGAUUAAAAAAUAAUUGAUUUUUACCUUGUUCUAUGCUUCCUUUUACAUAAGUAAGCUUUGUAUUUGUCUAAUUAUAAAAUGUUGUCAAAGAUGAAGUCUCCCCAUGAUGAUUUUACCUUGGUUUAAUUUUAUGGAGCUACGUAGCCAUCAAACAAUCUAAAUUGUAAUAAAAAGGCAUUCAUAAAUAACGUUUCUGAUUUUUGUAUUCUUAAAAUGUACUUUACAAUUGUUAUAAAAUGGUCUUAUCUAGCUUCUGGGAGCACGAAAUUAAAUUUGAAUCAAGGUAUCGAAUACGUUCUGUUCAGUUAAAGGACAUAGAUCAAAGUUGAAAAAUUGUAAAAGUGUUUCUUCCAAAAAGUCUUCUUUUCCAGUUAUUUAGUACAUGUUAUGGUUUAGACUUUGAACUUGUCUCCAACUACAUGUGCUGUUAAAGCUUUUGGGAGUAGCAACAAAAAUGCAAUCAGCUGAUUAUUGAUUAUUUCUGUCAUAAUCGUAAUGGGUGACGAGUCCCAGGUAAAAAUCAGGGUCUUCUCAUUAGGGAGAAAUACUGGGAAACUUAAUUAUAUAAAAAAAGAGGGACGAAGACAAACCUUCAAAUUGCUUUCGUAAAAAAUGAAUUUAAGCGCCAUUUUUUUUUUAUUUCAUUGCAAAAUGCAAAAUGUUGACCCCAGGCAGAAAGCCUGUUUUCCAUGUUAAAAGAAGCAUACAGCAUGGAAUGAUAUGAUUAUUUCAAUUGAAAUUGUUAAAUUGUGUGUUUUGAAUCGGGUCUAAAAUACACAUUUGAAAGGUAGUAACGUUUUAUGACAAUAAACCUUUUUAAAAUAAAAAAAAAAUUGACUUUGUGUAAUUUCCUAGGUAAUAUCACCAACACAAAUGUCCAUUUUUGUUUCCAGCAAUAUUUGAACAUAGUUGUGACGUCAAUAAAUAAUCAAAACAACAGACGUAUAACGCUGUUUUAUAAUCAUAACUCGAAAAACCAAUACGGGUCACAAACCAAAACCGAGGGAAACAUAUCGAGUUAAAAUGAAAAACAACAGAAAAAUUGAACUGCAACAAAAACAAACGCCAACAUUCAUAGCAACGCAUUUUAAUAACAACUGCUAUAUUCCUGUAUUGGUACAUCAAUCACAACAAUAAUGGCAAAGCGAAAAAAGAACCUCAUAUAAAUAGAAUGUUUAUUUACGUCUAACGUAAAUUACACUUUUUUCUUAAAGGAUGUUUGAUUUAUAAAAAAAAAGAUGAAAAUGUUCGAGGUAAGUGAUUGUGUAUUAAACUUAUAUUUUACUUUUUAAUGUUGUGUCGUCAUUCUCCUCUUAUAUUUAAUGCGUUUCCCCCAAUUUUGGUUGUGUGACCCGGAUCUGUUUUUUUUUUUUCCUAUCGAUUUAUGAGUUUUGAUUAUCGGUAUACUACUGAUGCCUUUAUUUAGUGUAAUUUUAUCCCGUGAAAAAGACAGUGAGAUUAGACAAUGAUGCAAUCAUAACAUUUUGUCUUUGAUAUGUGUUUUUUUAAAAGUUUUAAAUACUAGUAUACACACGUUGAUAAAUAUGUUGAGUAUUCCAUGUCUUAUAGAUAUAGGAAGAUGUGGUGUGAGUGUCAAUGAAACAACUCUCCAUCCAAAUAAAAAUUAAAAAAAAAAAAUAAAUCAUUAUAGGUCAAUGUACGGCCUUCAACACGGAGCCUUGGCUCACACCGAACAACAAGCUAUAAAGGGCCCCAAAAUUACCAGUGUAAAAACAUUCAAACAGGAAAACCAACGGUCUAAUCUAUAUAAAAAAAUAUGUAUGGAUUUGGGGAUAUGUAAAGAAAUCAAGUUGAUAAUAGUUUUAUUUUCACUAACUAAAGUACGAAUCUCUGCAAAUACAUUUCUUAUCAAAAUCGUUAUUCAUCAGACUAAUAGUGUGUUUGGCAGGUAAUAUGAACAAUGUCUUUGACAUAUAUUCUUUUUUUUUCAACAGUACCUCGAGGAAUAUGUAAUCCUCUGAUUUACAUUUUUUUUGUUUUAGUUAGAUAAUAAUUUAGUCGAAAAAGGCGUGUUUUAUACCAAUAUGAACGAUGAAUUUAUUAUAGAAAACAGGAGUAAACUUUGGUAUUUGUGUAAGAUGUGAGCUUCAUCUAAAAAAGACUCAUCAGUGACGCUCGAAUAAAAAAAAGUUUAAUAGGCCAUAAAAAUAAUACAACAUAUCGACAAUGUUUUUUUUAUUUCAUUUAAAAAUAGUAUUUGAGUUUAAUAUGAUUUUUUAAACAACCUUUUCAUAAAUCCGUUUCCCAAUUCUCUUUUUUUUUCUUUUUCAGAUAAUUAUAAAACAUUAUGGAUCUUGGUCAUGAUGGGUGACGUUAAAUUCCAUCAAUUAACAAACAGUCGUCUGGUGGGAGAACGACGUUAUGAAAUGAUAAACUGUAGCAAAAUACUUCCACGUUUCACAAGUGUCUUUUCACAUCAUCACAGACUUGCUUGGCUUGUAUCUGUUUAACACUUGAUAUGCUAAUAUUUUGCCCCUGCAAAUAACCAGUUUUAUCAUUUUGGACUUUCGAUGACCGGGUCUAUUAUUUUGGACUUGCAAUUACUGGAUUGAUCUGUUUGGGCAUGCGACAACUUGAAUUAUAAUUUUAAAUUCAUAACCGGAUUGAUCAUUUUGGACUUGCGAUAACCGGAUUGAUCGUUUUGGACUUGCGAUAACCUAAUUUAUUCAUUUGGACUUGCGUGCAUCAGAUUUAUCAUUUUGCACAUAUCUGGACUCUUCUUUAAAUAAUUGAAAACGAAAAAGGUUUAAAAGAUAAAAUGAUAUAUACAUAAAAAAAAUAAAAAUUAAAGCUUUCUUGUAGUCUUCCUUUUACAGGUGUGUACAUGGGAAGUGGAAAUAUACCUCAUUGUACUGUACGUAUGAACUCAUAUUUAUGCACAAGAAAUGUAUAGUGCACGAGUGAAGUCUGCACAGGAUAGUAUCUUUAUUUUUAAACCAGAAUAUAAGCUUUGGAUUCAAAAAAAAAAAAAGAUGAAACACAUGAAGAAGAAACACAAAGUAAUCCUAAAACAAAAGAAAAAUCGAAAUCGUUUAAAUAAUUUUCGAAAUAUUUUAUAUUACCUGGACACAUUGUAAGCAUACAUUACACUAAAACACAUUUAAAAGUUUCUGAUAGAUUGCAAGGCAUAUGACCUUCAAUUUGAAUUGGAAUUAAAAAAAAUUACUUGCACAAUCUACGUAGUGAAAAAAACGUCUUCACCAUAUGCGUACUUGGUAGAAAGUAAAAUUGACCCUAUUGAUGAACCAAUUCACAACCAACAUUUUCAAAAACAAACACGUGUUGCAUGGUCUCAAUAUUGCUGACUUCAAAUCUUAACCUCCUGAUGGCACCUCGCCUUAAACACAAAGCCCAUAUCGUUUUCUAAGUAAUGAAAGGCUUGGGAUGAAAACAAUGAGAUACAAAAAAGAAAAGCAACGGCCUGGUUGAAUCUGAAACGUUAAACUCAACUUGCUGUUGGUUUUUUUCCCAAUAUUUGUGUGGUAAAAAUGAGUUAUAUAAAAGGCAAUUGCAUUUAUAAUUUUCUUUCGGGACUUAAAAAAUACAACAGCCAUACCAUACUGGCAAAUCUGUUGUGAGUAUUUUUUUUUAAAAAAUGCUAAAGUUAACAGUUAUCGUUUAACUGGAUAAUUAUCUAGUUUUUUUAUGAGGGUUUUCGUAGUUUGAUAAAUGCGAUAACAAAUGUUUUCCAAUUAAAGCAGUGUCGAGUUGGAUUUUAAAUAAUCGAAACUUUUACAGGUUAAACUUUUCUUUAUCAAUCGAAUAGGACGAUUCAAUUAGAAAAAAAACCUUUUGGCAAACAUAAAAAUAAGGAGAUAUGAUAUAAUUGACAAUAAGACAACUCUCUAUCCGAGAGGAAACUGACACAAAAGUAACUAAGAUGUCUAUUACACUAGCCUGAUCUUUGUUGUCAUUAAGUUCAAUGUAUGUCGGUCAUUUUGUGAGGGUAUAUGAGUAUGUUCAUUAUUGUUGGUUUGUUUGUACAUCCGUUAGAAAACCCUUUAAUAAAGUGUGACUGUAUAACGCUAUGGGGUAAAUAAUACGCGCAUCAUCCGGUCGGUUAAAAUUGUCAAAUCCGAAGGCUAGGGUAAGUAUUGUAGGAAUAACAUUAUCUGCAACAUCCCUUUAUUAACGGGAAGUUGUAGAUGUUCACUGAUGUAUCAGUGCAACUAUAUUAUGGUGCUUAUUUUUUGCCAAUUUUGCAGAACAUGCCAGUCAUAUUGAUUGAUACGUAACCAGAGCUGGAUAUAUUCUCCUGUUUUUAAGAAAUCAACAGACAACAUCAGUUGUACAACAUGUGAUGUAACAUUUAUCAAUUGAGUCAAACUAUUUAAAUAUCAUCCUUUUUUUUAUUGUGUACCACAAUUGAUGUAGCCCCUAUUAUUUGAUUGAGUAACAUGUAAUUAUGUUUUUUAUUAUGUUGUAGGUUCGAAAUGAACAUUGUGAAUAACAUCUCGAUGGGAGACGAUUAAGCCAUGAAAAUCUUCGUCUUGUGGAGGAACGACGUUCAUAACACCCACAAAAUAUUUCCACGUUUCACAAGUGUCGUAUUGACUUUGUCAAAGACUUGCUUGGUUUUUCACUUUUUAUUUCUUAUAUUAUUUUGAACAAUUGCGAACAUAAAGAGCGUAUAAAAAAGUAAUAAAAGUUCAAUGACAUGUUUAAAAUAAUACAAAUUAUGUAAUUUUUCGACUGCAAUUUACUUAAAAAUAUGUAUUUUUAAGCAUUAUUCUAUGUUUGCCGUUCUUAUUCUUUGAUUUUUCUAAGCACUGGCCUCCAGUUAUCGUUGUGAAAAGAUAACAAACAAAAUCGUUGAAUGAUAAAUGAUAUGCUUGUUUUACAUUUGUCAUUUAGGGGCCUUUUAUAGCUGAUUAUGUGGUAUGGACUUUCAUUGUUGAAGGCCUACAGUGACCUAUAGUUGCCUCUUUCUGUGUCAUUUGGUCUCUUGUGGCAAUCAUACCAAAUCGUUUUUUUUUAUAUUUGAAUUUAAUUCAAUUGUUGAACUAGGUUUAAGCUAAAGCGACUGUAUGUCAUGGUGCUUGCCAACAAUAUAGUACAAAACACAGUAAAUAGCUUCUAAUAUAUAAAUAGUCUGUGGGAAGAACGGUUCAAAAGUGCCCAAUAUCCUUUAAGUCAUUAGAGUACUAAAAGAGAAAUCAAAAGGCGUCAAAUUUGAAGAAAAAGCAAUACUUUGUUUGUACGAAAUUUUAUAGACAAAUAAAAUUGAGAAUGGAAAUGGAAAAUAUGUCAAAGAGACAACAACCAGACAAAACAACAGAUAACAGCUACAUCUUAAAAGCCUCCAAUGGGUCUUCAACGCAGCAAAACAAAUUCCACAUCCCACCUUAAUUAAACUGAUUGAAAACGAAUGUCAUUAAAAGUUUUGUUUUUCGUUGUUGGUGUUGUAUCUAACACUUUUAUUUUAAAGAUCAACAAACCUAAUAAAAAAGCAAAAAUAAAUAAUUCAGUGAAUGUCAAGAUCAGGAUAAGUUCAAUGACGAACGAUAAUUUAAUAAUUUAUACCGGCAAGUCCGAUGUUUAAUGUCAAUGGGUUUUCCAUUUUAAAAAUAGAUCUUUGAAAUUCCCAUUUCUAAAAAAAAAACGACAACCUUAUUAAUGAACUCUCAUGUACUGAAUAUCUUUUAUUUUA